AGAAAAACUAACUAAAAUUAAAAAAUAAAAUGUACCUAGAUUUGUUUGGUGUGGUAAGUCACAGAUAUGGUUGUUAUAACAAGUUUAUGUUCAAGCUUUCUAGAAACAGGCAGUAUCACAUCCUCGAGGCUCCACAUGUAAAUACCCAGUUCUGCUUGGAGGCAGAAUUGUGAAGACAGCGCGUGAAUCAGAGCUUUCACUGGCUUUUUCCUGAAAAGCUGUGGGAAACACGAUGCCAGGUGGGUGCACUGAAUAAAUGAAGGAUCGGGUUAUUUGAACCAUUUUUUUGUGCUUUGAACUGAUAAAUCUUGAAACUGGAGAGCUGUUCAGAGGAUAAGGUGCAUGUUUUGCACAUGGCUGAUCACAGAUCCUCAGCUCUGCAUAUGAUCCCCUGAGCACUACCAGGAGUAUCCCGGAGCUGUGGAUCACCACUAGGUAUGCUCCCCCAUCCCUGGCCCAAUUUAUAAGUCUAGUCAGAAUAACAAAAAAGGUCAGGAUAAAGGAGUCAUCAGAAUGGAUUCCAUAUACAUUAAAAUAAUAACCGAGGGCUAAAGUUUCAAAUAGCUUAUACUUUGCAACAGAGAAAGAAACACAGGUAAGAGUGAAUCUGCAAAGUCUAAAAGUAAAAGUCUCAGGGUCAGGUUGUUUUUUAUAUAGGUGUUCAUAGAAAUUCCUAAAAGUAUAGCAUAGCAUUGGUACUAAUUCCAAUGAAACGUAAUAAAAUUGAGGACAAGAUUCUAUCACUUAGUUGUCACAUAAUGAAUUCAAUGGUCCAUUACUAUUUUCAGUGUGGUUUACUAAUGUGGUUCAAGCUAUAAAAUGAAUUCUCUGUCAAUUUUAUAUGACAGAUUUAUUGAAUUGUACCACAAAUUAAAAAAAGAGAGGGCUAGAAAUAGAAUACAAUGAGUAUGAUGUGUGCUGGACCAGGUUUGAGUCCCAGCACCACAUAUGGUCCCAUGCACCCUACCAUGAAUAAGCACUGAAUACUGCCAGGAGUGGUCCAGAAGCCAAAAUAAUAAAAAUUUGAUGUCAAUAGCUUUGAUGUAGAUGAAACUGCAGUUAUUUGAAAACAAACUACUGAAAUUCAUACUAUGAAUAAGAUAACAAAAUAGCCAUUUUGUUAUCUGUUGUUUGUACAGAAUGGAAUUAGGAGGCUGGAGAGAUUAAUGCAGUUGGUAGGGUGUUACUUGCAUGCAGCUAACCCAGGUUUGAUGCCCCAAACCUCAUAUGGUGCCCUGAGCACCAACAGCAGUAAUCCCUGAGUGCAGAGGCAGAAGUAAUCCCUGAAUUUCGCCAGGUGUGGUCCCAAAACAAAAAACUAUAGAACCAUUUCUCGUAGAAAUAGAGGCAAAGUCCUCACAAAAUUCAUCAGAUGUCUUAAGUGUAUUGAAAGAUUUGCAAAUCAAUUGUUUUAAAAGUAUUAGACACUGUUACCAAGUGGGAUUUAUGUCAGCUACACAAGGCUGGUUAACAUUUUUUAAAAAAUGAAUUAACAUAGAAGCAGAGAUACAGGACUGCAGGUAAGGCAGUUGCCUUGCACACAGCUGACCCCUAACAUUACAAGAAUAAUCUUUGAGUACAGAGCUAGGAAUAAGCCCUGAGCACAAUGGGUGUGACUCAAUGUCCUUCACCCCCCCAAAAAAACCCCAACUAAGUAGUUUUGGGGCUUGAGUGAUAGUACAGCAAGUUGGGCCCUUGUACACAGCUGACCUGGGUUCAAUCUCCAGAACCCUAACUGGUCCCCCUACCUGGCAGGAGUGAUCUCUGAGACAGCAAAACAAAAAAUCAAAAUGCAUUGUGUCAUUAUUUUGCUACAGCACCAGUUGAGAAACAACUAAAAUGUUCUUGCUGUGAAUACUGUAACUAUAUUAUUCAUGAAUGUGGUCCCAUGUAUGAAAAUAACAAAAUAUUGUAAUAGCCUAGUUGAAAUAGUUGAUCUCUCUCUUUUAAAUACUUUAUAACUUUUAUAAAGUAUAUAUAAAAAAGUCUUUGCCAGAGCUUUUGAUAAGCAGAUACACUCCUGUUUUCCCCAGGGUAGGUUCUUUUUGUGUGUUUUUGUUGUUGUUGUUUUGUGUUCACAUCUGGGUGCUCAGGUUACUCUGGGCUCUGCACUCAGGGAUGCAUUCCUGGCAGUGCUUGGGGGACUACAGGGACGCCAGGGACUGAACCCAGAUAGACGCAUACAAGACAAGCGUCCUACCUGCCAUACUAUCCCUCCAGCCUCCCAAAGUAGAUUUUCUUAUUACAUUGCUUCAUUUUCACAUUUCCCCAAGAAAUAUUUUUGUUUUCCUUUCCAAAUAUCAUUACUUUAUUGUUCUCCAAAACAAACUUGCAGUGAAUGUUGAGUUAAAGGCUUAUGCCGAGUAACACAAAUCUUUGGGAAGUGUUUAAUGCUGAGGCAAAGGCAAAACACUAACUUAUUGGUUUUUUUUUCUUUUUUUGCUUUUUGGGUCACACCCAGCGAUGCACAGGGAUUACUCCUGGCUCUGCACUCAGCAAUUACCCUUGGCGGUGCUCAGGGGACCAUAUGGGAUGCUGGGAUUUGAACCUGGGUCGGCCGCGUGCAAGGCAAACGCCCUACCCGCUGUACUAUCACUCCAGCCCCACACUAACUUAUUCGUGAAGAGUAAUUUUGUAAAAUAUACCUUAUUUGGAAUUGUGAAUAAACAUUAUAAAGCUGACCUAGA